CAGGGAUUGCCCCAGUAACGGCGAGUGAAGCGGCAACAGCUCAAAUUUGAAAUCUGGCCUCGGCCCGAGUUGUAAUUUGCAGAGGAUGUUUCUGGCGCGGUGCCUUCUGAGUUCCCUGGAACGGGACGCCAUAGAGGGUGAGAGCCCCGUACGGUUGGACGCCUAGCCUGUGUGAAACUCCUUCGACGAGUCGAGUAGUUUGGGAAUGCUGCUCAAAAUGGGAGGUAUAUCUCUUCUAAAGCUAAAUAUUGGCCAGAGACCGAUAGCGCACAAGUAGAGUGAUCGAAAGAUGAAAAGCACCUUGAAAAGGGGGUUAAACAGCACGUGAAAUUGUUGAAAGGGAAGCGCCCAUGACCAGACUUGUGCCCGGCGGAUCACCCAGCGUUCUCGCUGGGGCACUCCGCCGGGUCCAGGCCAGCAUCGGUUUUCGCCGGGGGAUAAAGGCUCUGGGAACGUAGCUCCUCCGGGAGUGUUAUAGCCCUCUGCGUAAUACCCUGGCGGGGACCGAGGUACGCGCUCCGCAAGGAUGCUGGCGUAAUGGUCAUCAGCGACCCGUCUUGAAACACGGAUCAAGGAGUCGUCCAUUAGAGCGAGCGUUUGGGUGUCAAACCCGCACGCGUAAUGAAAGUGAACGUAGGUGAGAGCUUCGGCGCAUCAUCGACCGAUCCUGAUGUCCUCGGAUGGAUUUGAGUAUGAGUUUUACUGGACGGACCCGAAAGAUGGUGAACUAUGCCUGUAUAGGGUGAAGCCAGAGGAAACUCUGGUGGAGGCUCGCAGCGGUUCUGACGUGCAAAUCGAUCGUCAAAUAUGGGCAUGGGGGCGAAAGACUAAU
rnacentral:rRNA from 1 species